UCAAAAGAGUGUGUGUCCGAUAAUGGAUGCCAUUAAACGUCCUUUUACUCAAACUGCCACUUUUACCUUUUGAGGCUGCGACGGUCGAAAGCGAGUGCAUGUACGGGGUCUCCCAGCGCUCCAUCACGGGUUUGCCCAUGAUCUCCAGGUGUGUGUCGGUUUCAUUGUAGCCGGCGUUUGCGUCGUGCCAGGAGGCCUUGCAGUCCUCGCCUUUGGAGAAUAUGGCCUGAGCGGCGGAGGUCAUGUUGUUGUGAUACGGAGGAGGCGGUGGUUGUUCGUUUGGCUCUGGGAAACGGUUUGGCCGGCCGUUCUCUCAACAUGGAAGAGGGUGAAAGGCAGGAGGCGGCCGUUUAUAUCGGACUCAGAAGUGCUGACACCGCAGUAGUUUCACUACAGGUCAAAAGCGCGCACACACAUUCCCAGACAAGGAACGGAGCCCAAGAUCCUCUGGAGAGAAGAUGGUUCGCUCAGCAGUAAACAACUGGCUCACUUUAGUUUUGCAACAUUGGGCUUCUAGUGGAGUAACAACUAUGGGGCAUGAGGACAGUGAUUUCCAAAAGACUCCAGGAAGUUGCUGUGUCUGGCCAGGAAAUAACACAUAACACCCCUAAAACUGAAACAUUUUGUCUUUACACCUAGGUUUUUCUUUACACAUUAAACAAAUUAUAUCUCA